GUCACUUAUUUCGCGAAUCCAACACCCUUACGUUGUUCAAUUUAAGGAAGCCUGGGUUGAGAAAGGUUGCUAUGUUUGCAUUGUUACUGGAUACUGCGAAGGUGGAGAUAUGGAUGAAUUGAUGAAAAAAUCAAAU